ensembl:snoRNA
UGCUGGAGUGAUGAAAAAGUAUCUUCAGGUGUGGCUGUGGCCACCUUGGCCACCUGUGCGUCACUUGCCAAUGCAAGGACUUGUCAUAGUUACACUGACUGUUA